rnacentral:rRNA from 1 species
CCUACGGGAGGCAGCAGUGGGGAAUCUUGUGCAAUGGACGAAAGUCUGACACAGCCACGCCGCGUGCGGGAAGAAGGCCUUCGGGUUGUAAACCGCUUUCAGCAGGAACGAAAAUGACGGUACCUGCAGAAGAAGAUGCGGCCAACUACGUGCCAGCAGCCGCGGUGAUACGUAGGCAUCAAGCGUUGUCCGGAUUUAUUGGGCGUAAAGAGCUCGUAGGCGGUUCAGCAAGUCGGGUGUGAAAACUCUGGGCUUAACCCAGAGCCUGCACUCGAAACUGCUGUGACUAGAGUUCGGUAGGGGAGCAGGGAAUUCCUAGUGUAGCGGUGAAAUGCGCAGAUAUUAGGAGGAACACCAAUGGCGAAGGCACUGCUCUGGGCCGAUACUGACGCUGAGGAGCGAGAGUGUGGGUAGCAAACAGGAUUAGAUACCCUGGUAGUCCACGCCGUAAACGAUGGGCACUAGGUGUGGGUCUCUAACCAACGAGAUCUGCGCCGUCGCUAACGCAUUAAGUGCCCCGCCUGGGGGAGGUACGGUCGCGAGACGUAAACUUAAAUAGAAGUUAGACGGCGUGAGACGUAGACCGAACGGACGACGACGAGGGAGGAGGG